rnacentral:rRNA from 1 species
UGAAGAAUGAACCAACGAGUUACGUGCACUAGCGAGGUUAAGUGGAAAACACGGAGCCGAAGCGAAAGCGAGUCUUAAGAGGGCGGAUAGUUAGUGUACGUAGACCCGAAACCGCAGUGAUCUACCCAUGUCCAGGUUGAAGCGCAGGUAAAAUUGCGUGGAGGACCGAACCUGUGAGCGUUGAAAAGCUUUAGGAUGAGAUGUGGGUAGAGGUGAAAUUCCAAUCGAACGCGGAGAUAGCUGGUUCUCCCCGAAAUAGCUUUAGGGCUAGCCUCAAGUAGUAAGUAUAGGCGGUAGAGCACUGAUCGGGCUAGGGGCCAUAAAGGUUACCGAACCCUGUCAAACUCCGAAUGGUUAUACUGUAGAGCUUGGGAGUCAGACUACGAGUGAUAAGAUCCGUGGUCAAAAGGGAAACAGCCCAGACCACCAGCUAAGGUCCCCAAUGUCGUACUAAGUGGAAAAGGAUGUGGGGUCUCUAAAACAACCAGGAUGUUGGCUUAGAAGCAGCCACCAUUUAAAGAGUGCGUAAUAGCUCACUGGUCGAGAGACCCUGCGCCGAAGAUUACCGGGGCUAAAGUACGAAACCGAAGCUGUGGCUACGACGUAAGUCGUGGGGUAGGGGAGCGUUCUGUGAGGGCUGAAGUCGUUCUGUAAGGAACGGUGGACUUCACAGAAGUGAGAAUGUUGGUAUGAGUAGCGAAAAGAAUGGUGAGAAUCCAUUCCACCGAAAGCAUAAGGAUUCCUGGGCAACGAUCGUCGUCCCAGGGUAAGUCGGGACCUAAUCCGAGGCAUGGAGCGUAGGAGAUGGAUAACUGGCAGAUAUUCCAGUACCGGUAAUGAUUGUUUGAGCGAUGGAGUGACACAGGAGGGCAGGCAGGCAGGAGAUUGGUUGUUCCUGUACAAGCGUGUAGGAUGGGACGUAGGCAAAUCCGCGUCCUGUGAGUCUGAGGCGUGAUGUGGAGGUUCCGGAAACGGAACUGAAGCUGCUGACCCCACACUGUCGAGAAAAGCUUCUAGUUAGAGAAUUACCGCCCGUACCGUAAACCGACACAGGUAUGCGGGGAGAGAAUCCUAAGGUGCGCGGGAGAACCCUCGUUAAGGAACUCGGCAAAAUGUACCCGUAACUUCGGGAUAAGGGUAGCCGCUGUUGUGAAGUCUGAACAGAUGGAGCAUGAGGCGGUCGCAGAGAAGAGGCCCAAGCGACUGUUUACCACAAACACAGGUGCCUGCUAAAGAGAAAUCUGACGUAUAGGUGCUGACACCUGCCCAGUGCCGGAAGGUUAAGGAAGGAUGUCCGGAGCAAUCCAAAGCAUUCGACCGAAGCCCCGGUGAACGGCGGCCGUAACUAUAACGGUCCUAAGGUAGCGAAAUUCCUUGUCGGGUAAG